GUAAUGCGAACUUCGGUUCGCAAAACCAAUACCAUAACACACCUGUGCAUGCCUUCGGGCUCAAAACUUAUAAGUCUAUGAAUGUCUUUACAAAACAAACAUA
rnacentral:misc_RNA from 1 species